rnacentral:rRNA from 1 species
UUAGGAAUUUUGCGCAAUGGACGAAAGUCUGACGCAGCAACUCCGCGUGAGUGAUGAAGGCCUUCGGGUUGUAAAGCUCUUUUAGUUGGGAAGAAGAAAAUGACGGUACCAACAGAAACAGCACCGGCUAACCCUGUGCCAGCAGCCGCGGUAAUACAGGGGGUGCAAGCGUUAUUCGGAAUUAUUGGGCGUAAAGAGCGUGUAGGCGGUUCAGCAAGUUUGGUGUGAAAUCCCCGGGCUUAAUCCGGGA